rnacentral:rRNA from 1 species
GACGAACGCUGGCGGCGUGCUUAACACAUGCAAGUCGAGCGGUAAGGCCCUUUCGGGGGUACACGAGCGGCGAACGGGUGAGUAACACGUGGGUGACCUGCCCUCAGCUCUGGGAUAAGCCUGGGAAACCGGGUCUAAUACUGGAUAUGACUCCAUGACGCAUGUUGUGGGUGGAAAGCCUUGUGCGGCUGAGGAUGGGCCCGCGGCCUAUCAGCUUGUUGGUGGGGUGAUGGCCUACCAAGGCGACGACGGGUAGCCGGCCUGAGAGGGCGACCGGCCACACUGGGACUGAGACACGGCCCAGACUCCUACGGGAGGCAGCAGUGGGGAAUCUUGCGCAAUGGGCGAAAGCCUGACGCAGCGACGCCGCGUGAGGGAUGACGGCCUCGG